rnacentral:rRNA from 1 species
GACGAACCGUGCGAACGUUAUUCGGAAUCAUUGGGCUUAAAGGGCGCGUAGGCGGCGGUGUAAGUUGGAAGUGAAAUCCCAUCGGCUCAACCGUGGAAUUGCUCCCAGUACUGCAUCGCUCGAGGGGGAUAGGGGUUUGCGGAACUACCGGUGGAGCGGUGAAAUGUGUUGAUAUCGGUGGGAACGCCAGUGGCGAAAGCGGCAAACUUGACCCUUCCUAACGCUGAUGCGCGAAAGCUAGGGGAGCAAACGGG